rnacentral:rRNA from 1 species
GCUGGCGGCGUGCCUAACACAUGCAAGUCGAACGAGAAAGUGGAGCAAUCCAUGAGUAAAGUGGCGACCGGGUGAGUAACACGUGACUAACCUACCCUAGAGUGGGGGAUAACCUCGGGAAACCGGGGCUAAUACCGCAUAACAUCACGAGGGGAAGAUCCUUGUGAUCAAAGGAGCAAUUCGCUCAAGGAGGGGGUCGCGGCUGAUUAGCUAGUUGGUGGGGUAACGGCCCACCAAGGCAAAGAUCAGUAGCCGGCCUGAGAGGGCGCACGGCCACACUGGAACUGAAACACGGUCCAGACUCCUACGGGAGGCAGCAGUGGGGAAUUUUGCGCAAUGGGGGAAACCCUGACGCAGCAACGCCGCGUGGAGGAUGAAGUCCCUUGGGAUGUAAACUCCUUUCGAUCGGGACGAUUAUGACGGUACCGGAAGAAGAAGCACCGGCUAACUCUGUGCCAGCAGCCGCGGUAAUACAGAGGGUGCAAGCGUUGUUCGGAAUUAUUGGGCGUAAAGGGCGCGUA